rnacentral:rRNA from 1 species
GCCGCGGUGAUUCCAGCUCCAAUAGCGUAUAUUAACGUUGUUGCAGUUAAAAAGCUCGUAGUUGAAAUGAAGGGUAGUUGUGUAAUGAAUACAUUCGUGUAUUUUGUUAUUCAAGUACCCUCCUUCUAAAUUCGAUAUAUGAGUAUUAAUUUACUUGUAUAUGGUUUUAGACCUUUACUGUGAGAAAAUUAGAGUGUUCAAAGCAGGCAUUUGCUUGAAUAUAUUAGCAUGGAAUAAUCAUGUAUGAUUUUCAUGAUGUAUUUGAUUGGUUUGGUUGAUGAGAAUAAGAUUAAAAGGGACAGUUGGGGGUAUUCAUAUUCAAUAGUCAGAGGUGAAAUUCUCGGAUUUAUGGAAGAUGAACAAGUGCGAAAGCAUUUACCAAGGAUGUUGUCAUUAAUCAAGAACGAAGG